rnacentral:rRNA from 1 species
AGCCUGAGAGGGUGUUCCCGAACACUGGGACUGAGACACUGCCCAGACUCCUACGGGAGGCUGCAGUCGAGAAUCAUUCGCAAUGGGCGUAAGCCUGACGAUGCGACGCCGCGUGUGGAUGGAGGCCUUCGGGUUGUAAACCACUGUCACAGGGGAAGAAACGCGCGGAUGCCAAUACCAUUCGUGUUUGACGUUACCCUGAGAGGAAGUCACGGCUAACUCCGUGCCAGCAGCCGCGGUAAUACGGAGGUGGCGAGCGUUGUUCGGAAUCACUGGGCGUAAAGGGUGCGCAGGCGGUCGAAUGUGUUCGGUGUGAAAUCCCCCGGCUCACCCGGGGAACUGCAUCGAAAACUGUUCGGCUUGAGUGCAGAAGGGGAAAGCGGAAUUUCCGGUGUAGCGGUGAAAUGCGUAGAUAUCGGAAGGAACGCCAAAGGCGAAGGCAGCUUUCUGGUCUGUAACUGACGCUGAGGCACGAAAGCCAGGGUAGCAAACGGGAUUAGAUACCCCGGUAGUCCUGGCUGUAAACGAUGGGUACUACGUAGUGGGGCCUCUGACGGUCGCACUGCCGGAGUUAACGUAUUAAGUACCCCGCCUGGGGACUACGGCCGCAAGGCUAAAACUCAAGGUAAUUGACGGGGGCUCACACAAGCGGUGGAGCAUGUUGCGUAAUCGAGACAACGCGAAGAACCUUACCUGGGCUUGACAUGUACGGAUUAGCCCGUCGAAAGGCGGAUGACACCCUUGCGGUGGAACGUACACAGGUGUUGCAUGGCUGUCGUCAGCUCGUGCCGUGAGGUGUCGGGUUAAGUCCCUCAACGAGCGAAACCCCUGUCCUUAGUUGCCAGCGAGUAAUGUUGGGGACUCUAGGGAGACUGCCAGUGUUAAACUGGAGGAAGGUGGGGAUGACGUCAAGUCAUCAUGGCCCUUAUGCCCAGGGCUGCAAACGUGCUACAAUGGCCGGUACAGAGGGAAGCGAGACCGUGAGGUGGAGCAAAUCUCAAAAAGCCGGCCCCAGUUCGGAUUGAAGGCUGCAACUCGCCUUCAUGAAGUUGGAAUCGCUAGUAAUCGCGGAUCAGCAACGCCGCGGUGAAGUGUUCCUGAGCCUUGUACACACCGCCCGUCAAGUCAUCCGAAUUGAUCGAACCCGAAGUCAUGAAGCCCUCGGGCCAGUGCCGAAGGUCCGGUUAGUGAGGAGGACUAAGUCGAAACAAGGUA